GUUUUUGUAGUUUACGUAGAACGUUAUAUUUUCAUUAUAGAGGAAACUAAAUAUUUAAAAACU
rnacentral:tRNA from 1 species